rnacentral:rRNA from 1 species
GACGAACGCUGGCGGCGUGCUUAACACAUGCAAGUCGAACGGAAAGGCCCUGCUUUUGUGGGGUGCUCGAGUGGCGAACGGGUGAGUAACACGUGAGUAACCUGCCCUUGACUUUGGGAUAACUUCAGGAAACUGGGGCUAAUACCGGAUAGGAGCUCCUGCUGCAUGGUGGGGGUUGGAAAGUUUCGGCGGUUGGGGAUGGACUCGCGGCUUAUCAGCUUGUUGGUGGGGUAGUGGCUUACCAAGGCUUUGACGGGUAGCCGGCCUGAGAGGGUGACCGGCGACAUUGGGACUGAGAUACGGCCCAGAAUCCUACGGGAGGCAGCAGUGGGGAAUAUUGCACAAUGGGCGGAAGCCUGAUGCAGCAACGCCGCGUGCGGGAUGACGGCCUUCGGGUUGUAAACCGCUUUCGCCUGUGAUGAAGCGUGAGUGACGGUAAUGGGUAAAGAAGCACCGGCUAACUACGUG